rnacentral:lncRNA from 10 species
UUUGAGACUUGCCUGGGCAACAUAGUGAGACUCUGUCUCUAUUUAGAAGAAUCAAUAUAAAAGAGUAAGAUAAAGAACUACCCGUAAAUAUGUAUUAAGAGAUUGUUAUGGACUGAAUGUUUGUGUCCCCUCGAAAUUCAUAUGCUGUAGCCCUAACCUCCAAUGUGAUGGUAUUUGAAGGUGGGGCCUUUGAGAAGUACUUAGGUUUAGAUCAGGCCAUGAUAGUGGACGCCUUGCAGUGGAUUAGUUUCCUUAUAAGAGGAGGGACAGAGAGCUCUGUCUUUAUGAGCACACACCAAAGAAAGGCCAUGUGACCAUACAGUGAGAUGUCAGCUGUCUGCAAGCCAAGAAGACGGCCCCACCAGAACCUCACCAUGUUGGCACCCUGAUUUCAGACUUCCAGCCUCCAGAAUGGUGAGAAAAUAACAGCCUGUUGUUUAAGCCACCCAGUCUAUGAUACAUUCUUAAAGCAGCCUGAGGUGACUAAGAGAGAAGUUUACUAGGAAUGGGUAUAGAAAUUUUAUUUAAAUGUAUUUUCUGGGGUUUUUUUUUGUUUUUUUUUUUUUUUUGAGACAGAGCCUCGCUCUGUCACCCAGGCUGGAGUGCAGUGGUGCAAUCUCGGCUCACUGCAACCUCCGCCUCCCGGGUUCAAGCGAUUCUCCUGCCUCAGCUUCCCGAGUAGCUGGGAUUAUAGGCACCUGCCACCAUGCCCAGCUAAUUUUUGUAUUUUUGGUAGAGACGGGGUUUCACCACGCUGGCCAGGGUGGUCUCAAACUCCUGACCUCAGGCGAUUCGCCCGCCUCGGCCUCCCAAAGUGCUGGGAUUACAGGCGUGAGCCACCGCGCCCAGCUGUGAAAUGUAUUUUCUUUUUUUUUUUUUUUGAGACAAAGUCUUGCACUGUCACCCAGGCUGGAGUGCAGUGGCGCGAUCUCGGCUCACUGCAACCUCCAUCUCCCAGGUUCAAGCAAUUCUCCUGCCUCAGCCUCCCAAAUAGCUGGGAUUACAGGCGCCUGCCACCACACCUGGCUAAUUUUUGUAUGUAUUUUGAGACGGAGUCUCGCUCUGUCACCCAGGCUGGAGUGCAGUGGCGUGAUCUUGGCUCACUGCAACCUCUGCCUCCCGGGUUCAAGCGAUUCUCCUGCCUCAGCGUCCUGAGUAGCUGGAACUAUAGAUGCACCCCACCACGCCCAGCUAAUUUUUUGUAUUUUUAGUAGAGUCAGGGUUUCACCGUGUUAGCCAUGAUGGAUUUUUGUAUUUUUAGUAGAGAGAGGGUUUCACCACAUUGGACAGGCUGAUCUCGAACUCGUGACCUCAAGUGAUCUGCCCACCUCGGCCUCCCAAACUGCUGGGAUUACAGGCGUGAGACACCACGCCUGGCCAAAAGGUAUUUUCGUUGUUUUUUUUUUUUUUUGGUUUUUUGAGACAAGGUCUCACUCUGUCACCAAGGCUGGAGUGUAGUGGUGUAAUCUCGGCUCACUGCAAUCUCUGCCUCUUGGGUUCAAGCGAUUCUCGGGCCUCAGCCUCCCUAGUAGCUGGAAUUACAGGCGCAUCCCAUCAUGCCAGGCUAAUUUUUGUAUUUUUAGUAAAGAUGAGGUUUCGCCAUGUUGACCAUGCUGGUCUUGAACUCCUGACCUCAAGUGAUCCGCCCACCUUGGUCUCCCAAAGUGCUGAGAUUACAGGUGUGAGCCAUCACUCCCAGACUAAAUGUAUUUUCAACAUUAAUAAAGGUGAUUAUAUAUAUAGUUUCUCUUUUGACUUAAUAAUUACAUUACAAAAUUUCUUUCUUUUUUUUUGAGACGGAGUCUCACUCGGUCCUCCAGGCUGGAGUCCAGUGAUGCGAUCUUAGCUCAUUGCAACCUCUGUCUCGGUUCGAGUGAUUCUCCUGCCUCAGCCUCUCAAGUAGCUAGGAUUACAGACACCCGCUACCACACUCAGCUAAGUUUUUUUUUUUUUUUUUUUUUAAUGUAGAGACAGGGUUUCGCUAUGUUGGCCAGACUGGUCUCAAACUCCUGACCUCAAGUGAUCUGCCCGCCUUGGCCUCCCAAAGUGCCAGAUUACAGGCGUGAGCCACUGCGUGUGGCCCAAAAUUUCUUAAUAUAGCACCAUCUUUGAUUCUUCAAUUUCUGGAAUAAACUCCACUUGAUCUUGUGUAUUAUUCUUUUUUUUUUUUUUUUUUGAGAUAGAGUUUCACUCUUGUUGCCCAGGCUAGCGUGCAAUGGCACAAUCUCUGCUCACUGCAACCUCUGCCUCCCGAGUAGCUGGGAUUAUAGGCGUGCACCACCACGCCCAGCUAAUUUUUGUAUUUUUAGUAGAGACAAGGUUUCACCAUGUUGGCCAGGCUGGUAUCAAACUCCUGACCUCAGGUGAUCUGCCCAGCUUGGCCUCCCAAAGUGCUGGGAUUACAGGUGUGAGCCACCAUGCCCAGCCUGCUGGCACACAUUCUAAAGAGAGCCAACUGGCACAACCUGAGGACUUCUGAGAGGACCAGAGCACCAGUGGCCUCCCCAUCCACCUUCCCUCCCUUCUCCUCCAGGUUACCUAAGGGAACCCCAGAGGAAUUCAAGGAGGAUGGGGUGAUUCUGAAGCUACGGUCCAGCAUGGCAUGCUAUGGUCUUGAAGCCUAUGAAAUUCACUCUUCAACAAACUUGGCAUCUACGUUAAGCAUGUGAAUGUACAGAGUUAUCAAUCAACAAUAGCCUUUAAGAUUAUUGUAAUCCCCUAAGUACUUCGGCCCCAGGUAGCCACCCACUGCUGGAUGUCAGAGGACAUCACGGUGCUCUUUCCUGCCUGCACCCCUAGUCUGGAAUGCUUACCCCACAUCUCUGCUGAGUGAACUCCUUCCUAUUCAUGCUUCAAGACCCAGCUCAGUCCUGGCUCAGCUGACCCCUUGGUUCCUGUGUCUGUUCCCUGCUGGGCUGCAGGUAACCAAUUGAAAGAUAAGAUACCAUAGACAGACAUCAACUUUAUUCCUGACUAAAGCUCAAAAGAAGGGCGUGGCGUAGAUUUACAGUGACCAUCCUAACACUCACGCGCAGAGUCACACGGUCCCACACUGGGCUGGACCAGCCCUGCUAAGCCCACAAGAGAUCAAAAGCUGAGUGAAGCAGUGGUCCAGCUGGAAUUCAACACCUGAGAUAUCUGACUCCAGAUACCAGCCCUUCCUUGCUUCCCACUAGCUGCCUAACCCAGAGAGGAGAUUGGGAAAAGAGAAACAAGUUACAGAAUUCAAGAAUCAGUGCUUGAGACAUUUUGCAGACCCUGCACUUGAUGGAUCGGCUGGCACCACCCAGAUCAAUAAACUGGCUCAUCUGAUCUUGCAGCCUCCACCCAGGAACUGACUCAGCGCAAGAAGACAGCUUCGACUCUGUAUGAGUUCAUCUCCAACCUGACCAAUCAGCACUCCCGGCUCACUGGCUUCCCCCCAUCCACCAAGUUGUCCUUAAAACUCUGCUCCCCGAAUGCUUGGGGAGACUUAUUUGAGUAAUAAUAAAACUCUGUUCUUCUGCACAGCCAGCUCCGCAUGAAAUUACUCUUUCUCUAUCGCAGUUCCCCAGUAUUGAUAAAUCGGCUCUGUCUAGGCAACCGGCAAGGUGAACUCACUAGGCAGUUAUGGCAGUACUCUUCUGCCUGGCACACUCACCUCUCAUUCCGCUUCCUUUUCUGCCUAACAUCCAGUAAUCUUUAAGUUCAUUGGCCCUUUCUCCAGGAAGCCUCCCUUGACUUUCUAAGGCCAGCUCUGGUGCCCUUUAGUGGUACCUCUCUGGGCUUCCUUCUGACCUUCUAUGUGUUUUCCCUAGUGGAUGAUGAGGCAAGAGACUGAACUGGACUCACUGUGAUGUCUCUAGUGCUGGGAACAGUGUCAGGCACCUGGCCGGUUUAUAAAUAUAUACAUAUACAUUUGAGACAGAGUCUCGCUCUGUUGCCUAGGCUGGAGUGCAGUGGCAUGAUCUUGGCUCACCGCAACCUCUGCCUCCCGGGUUCAAGCAAUUCUCCAGCCUCAGCCUCCUGAGUAGCUGGGAUUGCAGGCGCACACCACCACACCUCGCUAGUUUUUAAAAAUAUUUUUGACUGAGAGGCAGCAUUUUAAUAUAACAAACAAUAAGGAUAGGCCAGAGGCUUGCUACUCAAAGUGUGGUUGUGGCUCGAUAGCAUCAGCAUCUCCCAGGACCUGGUUAGAAAUGCAGAAUCUCAGGCCCCACCCCAGACCUACUGCCUUCUAACAAGAUCCCAGGUGAUUUGUAUGCACAUAAAUGUUCGCGAAGCACCGGGCUAGAACAUUUAUUAACGUAGGAUGUUGCUCUUACAAUGUAUUUUGAGGUCAAAAUAAACUCAUUUAAAGCAUUUUUUUUCUCAUUAUUUGCUCCAUUCUCUCCACCUCUGAGUUGCAUCAACACAUGUCAUUGUGUUCUGGGACUCUGAGCCUCUCUUAUGAAUCACAAUGGCAAAAGAAGUUUGCUGUACCAUUGCUGUAGAUGGCCUUAAUGGGUUACAAAUUGGAUUUUUUUUUUUUUUUUUUUUGAGACAGAGUUUUGCUCGUUACCCAGGCUGGAGUGCAAUGGCACGAUCUCGGCUCACUGAAACCUCCGCCUCCCGGGUUCAAGUGAGUCUCCUGCCUCAGCCUCCCAAGUAGCUGGAAUUACAGGCGCCUGCCACCACGCCCCAGCUAAUUUUUGUAUUUUUGGUAGAGACGGGGUUUCUCCAUGUAUGUCAGGCUGGUCUCAAACUCCCGACCUCAGGUGAUCCACCUGCCUCGGCCUCCCAAAGUGCUGGGAUUACAGGCGUGAACCACCGCGCUCGGCCACAAAUUGGAUUUUGAAACUUCCAUCAGCUGCUUCUUGUGCAGCACCUCCCAGGAGGUAGGUUGUAUGACAAUUUCUGUUUUUAGAGAUGAUGAAAUUGCGGCCCAAGGAGGUUUCAUGACUCACCACAG